rnacentral:rRNA from 1 species
UACGGGGGGGGCGAGCGUUGUUCGGAAUUACUGGGCGUAAAGGGCUUGUAGGUGGCCAACUAAGUCAGACGUGAAAUCCCUCAGCUUAACUGGGGAACUGCGUCGGAUACUGGAUGGCUUGAGUUUGGGAGAGGGAUGCGGAAUUCCAGGUGUAGCGGUGAAAUGCGUAGAUAUCUGGAGGAACACCGGUGGCGAAGGCGGCAUCCUGGACCAACACUGACACUGAGGAGCGAAAGCCAGGGGAGCAAACGGG